GAUCCUGGCUCAGGAUGAACGCUAGCUACAGGCUUAACACAUGCAAGUCGAGGGGCAGCAUGGUCUUAGCUUGCUAAGGCCGAUGGGGACCGGCGCACGGGUGAGUAACACGUAUCCAACCUGCCGUCUACUCUUGGACGGCCUUCUGAAAGGAAGAUUAAUACAAGAUGGCAUCAUGAGUCCGCAUGUUCACAUGAUUAAAGGUAUUCCGGUAGACGAUGGGGAUGCG
rnacentral:rRNA from 1 species